rfam:Solanum lycopersicum cultivar Heinz 1706 chromosome 11, whole genome shotgun sequence.
CGUCCCCAGGUCAGGCGGCAUUACCCGCUGAGUUUAAGCAUAUCAAUAAGCGGAGGAAAUGAAACUUACAAGGAUUCCCCUAAUAACGGCGAGCAAACUGGGAACAACCCAUCCUUAGAAUCGGGCAUCUCUGUCGUCCGAAUUGUAGUUUGGAGAAGCAUCCUCAACGGCGGAUCGGGCCCAAGUCCCCUCGAAGGGGGCGCCGAACAGGGUGAGAUCCCUGUCGUGCCCGGACCCUAUCGCACCACGAGGCUCUAUCUACGAGUUGGGUUGUUUUGGAAUGCAGCGUAAAUCGGGGGUGAAUUCCGUCCAAGGCUAAAUACUUGCGAGAGGACGAUAGCGAAAAACUACAGCAAGGGAAAGAUGAAAAGGAAUUCGAAAAGAGAGUCAAAGAGUGCUUGAAAUUAUCAGGAGGGAAGCGGAUGGGGGCCGGCGAUGCGCCACUAUCGGAUGUGGAACGGUGACGAGCCGGUCCAUUGAUCGACUCGGGGCGUGGACCAACGUGGAUUGAGGGGAGGACAAAGCUCGGGCUCUCGAUACAACCAUGGAACGCCGUCUCCCCGAUUGUGGAAGGCAGCGCGCGCCUCCGUCGUACUUUGGCAUCUGCACGCUCCGGACGCUGGCUUGUGGGCUCCCCAUUCUACCCAUCUUGAAUCACGGACCAAGGAAUCUGACAUGUGUGCGAUUCAAAGGUCGAGUAAACCCGUAAGGCGUAAGGAAGCUGAUUGGUGGUAUCCACCUGAGGGCUGCACCGCCGACCGACCCUGAUCUUCUGAGAAGGGUUCGACUGUGAGCAUACCUGUUGGGACCCAAAAGAUGGUGAACUAUGCCUGAGCGGGGUGAAGCCAGAGGAAACUCUAGAGGAGGCCCGCAGUGAUAGUGACGUGCAAAUCGAUCGUCUGACUUGGGUAUAGGGGCGAAAGACUAAUAGAACCGUCUAAUAGCUGGUUCCGUCCGAAGUUUCCCUGAGUAUAGCUGGAGCUCGCGUGCGAGUUCUAUCGUGUAAAGUCAAUGAUAAGAGGCCUCGGCGGUGCAACGCCCUCGACCUAUUCUCAAACUUCAAAUAGGUAGGACGAUGCGACUUCUUUGUUGAGCCGCGCCACGGAAUCAAGAGAUCCAAGUGCACCAUUUUUGGUAAGCCGAAGUGGCGAUGUAGGAUGAAUCGGAAGCCGGGUUACAGUGCGAAACUGCGCGCUAACCUAGAUCCCACAAAGGGUGUUGGUCAAUUAAGACAGCAGGACGGUGGUCAUGGAAGUCGAAAUCCGCUAAGGAGUGUGUUACAACUCGCCUGCCGAAUCAACUAGCCCCGAAAAUGGAUGGAGCUUAAGCGCGCAAUCUACACCCGGCCGUCAGGGCAAGUGCCAGGCCCCGAUGAGUAGGAGGGCGCGGCGGGUCGGCCGUCGUCAAGCGUGGCAUGCCAUCAUAGCCCUUGGAAAACAGAUACGGUUGGACGACGU